rnacentral:rRNA from 1 species
UACGGAAGGGGCAAGCGUUGUUCGGAAUCAUUGGGCGUAAAGGGCGCGUAGGUGGCGGGAGAAGCGUGCGGUGAAAGCUCGGGGCUCAACCCCGAGUCGGCCGUGCGAACUCUCUUGCUUGAGCACUGUAGAGGCAGGCGGAAUUCCGGGUGUAGCGGUGGAAUGCGUAGAGAUCCGGAAGAACACCGGUGGCGAAGGCGGCCUGCUGGGCAGUUGCUGGACACUGAGGCGCGACAGCGUGGGGAGCAAACAGG